CUUGUUAUAUACAUGUUCACUAUGAUGUGAUCUAUCUAAUUUUAAGGCAAAUUAAGAGUUUUUACUCCUAUUUCACAGUCCACUUCACAUAGAAAAUGAAAGUUUGAGUGGGGAAUCUGAGUACUAUGGACACAUUAUUCUUAAGAUUUACUUUUGUUUGAAAUGGCCUGUCAUAUCCAUUAACUGCAGUACACAUUUGUAUCACAGAGUAAAAGAAACUCUCAGAAGUUUUUAAUUCAUAUUAUUUUUAGGGGUUUUGGUAAGUAUGCCAUGAACUUUGCCAUUUGUUUUUGGGGUUCAGUUCCUUUGGUUGGAUUGAAUCUUUUUCAGAAAUUUAACCAUAUACAGUGUAACUUGCAUUAUCUAACACCUGAGUAUUCCAACAUCCUGCUUUAACCAACUCAUUUUCAUGGCCCCAAAAUAUGUCUAUCCUUGCCGAAAAAAUAUGUGAAUUUGGACACCCUGCUUAAUCUGACAUUUGUUCUGGUCCCUCAGGUUACCCCGUACACAUAAUUCCAUUAUUGAUCUAUUAAGUGUUUUUAUCUGGAUUUUUAUUCAGGUUUCCCCAUGACAAAUCAUUUACUUUAUAAGGUUUAGUUAUCAUUUGUGAACUUUGCUUGCUGUACCUCUAGGUAUUUUUAUUUUAACUGGGAAACUGGCCUUACUACAAUGAUAUUUGGUCUCUGGUGGAAAGUUGUCUCAUUGACAAUCAAACCACAUCUUCUUAUUUUCAUACUUUUUACAAAACUUAACAUUGAAUGAACUGUUGGAACUUUUCAACUGACUUAAUUACAAACUUUAACAUGUAACUGCAAAUGGUUUAAGGUCGACUGAAGGGGAAGGGCAUGGCACAUCUUAUGUGCUAAUGCAUAAAACAAGUCCAUACGACAUAUCCUUGACUUGUAUUUAAAAGUUGUUUGCCCUAAACUGACAUUAUAACAAACUUUAACAUGGCCACAAUGCAAAAGUUGCAAAGUAAUAGACAAUGACUCUUGGGAUCGGGGCCGCAGGGCAGUGGUUCCUAGAAGAUAGCUAGUACAAAAACAGGUACUCCUGAUCUGAGCAACAUAUAUACCAUCACAUUUGUUUUAUUACAGUUUACUGUAAGAAAAAUUUAAACACAGGGUAUGCAUUAGUGGUUCUAUACGUCUCCUUUCUUCACAAUGGUAGGAGUAAUAAAAACAAAAAGGAUUAAUAAGAAAUUAAUUAUUGACUUGGUUUCAAAAUUUAAUUAUGCACUUUCAAGAAAAACAAAAUAUACAUGCAUAUUAAACCAUAUUUGAAAUACAGGUAAAAUAAGUUUAUGAAUUAUACAAUACAAUAAUCUGUUAAAAAUUUUCAUAGAAUGUUUCAAAAAUAAAAAAAGAUGAAGACAAAAAAAAGAAGGCCAAAAUGAAUCACUUUCAUCAUGUUUAUUAUUAUUUAUGUAUAUUUAAAUUGUUACCAAUAAACAUCUACAUGUAUUGUAAAUGCAGAAAUUGAUGUGCAUUUUUUUUAUAUUGUAAAUCACUAAAACUGAAAAAUGUGAGAUCUAAUUAAUGCAAUUGCCAACAUUUUGUUUAGGAACAAGAGUGCACACACUGAAAUGUCUCGCCUUCUUUACUAAUCAUUGAUAUUAUGUUGAUAGUCCUAAGAAUAAAGCUUUAUUACAACUGUCACAUAAACUUAACAUUAACCAAGAUAGCUAAACAAAGACCAAUGAACCAUGAAAAUGAGGUCAAGGUCAGAUGAACCAUGCCAGGCAGACGUGUAGAGCUAACAAAGCUUCCAUACAACAAAUAUAGUUGACCUACUACUUAUAGUUUAAGAAAAAUAGACCAAAACACAAAAACUUAACACUGAGCAAUGAACCGUGCAAUUGAGGUCAUGAUCAAAUAAAACCUGCAGGACUGACAUAUAAAUCAUAAUAUAUUUCCAUACAGAAAUAUAGUUGACCUUUGGCAUAUAAUAUUAGAUAAAAAGACCAAAACUUAUAAACUUAACUUUGACCACUGAACCAUGAAAAUGAGGUCAAGGUCAGAUAACAUCUGCCCGCUAGACAUGUACACCUUACAAUCAUUCCAUACAAAAAAUAUAGUAGACCUAUUGCAUAAAGUAUGAGAAAAACAGACCAAAACACAAAAACUUAACUAUAACCACUGAACCAUGAAAAUGAGGUCAAGGUCAGAUGACACCUGCCAGUUGGACAUGUACACCUUCCAGUCCUUCCAUACACCAAAUAUACUAGCCCUAUUGCUUAUAUUAUCUGAGAUAUGGACUUGACCACCAAAACUUAACCUUGUUCACUGAUCCAUGAAAUGAGGUCGAGGUCAAGUGAAAACUGUCUGACAGGAGGACCUUGCAAGGUACGCACAUACCAAAUAUAGUUAUCCUAUUACUUAUAAUAAGAGAGAAUUUAAACAUUACAAAAAUUCUGAACUUUUUUUUCAAGUGGUCACUGAACCAUGAAAAUGAGGUCAAGGACAUUGGACAUGUGACUGACGGAAACUUUGUAACAUGAGGCAUCCAUAUACAAAGUAUGAAGCAUCCAGGUCUUCCACCUUCUAAAAUAUACAGCUUUUAAGAAGUAUUAGCUAACGCCGCCGCUGUAGGAUCACUAUCUCUAUGUCAAGCUUUCUGAGACAAAAGUUGCAGGCUCGACAAAAAUCACAUCUCAAAUUGUGAAUGCAAGUUUUUAUUACUGCUAUAUGUUGCAUUUUUUUGCAUUAAUAUAAGCAUUGCAAUAAUUUCUGACUUUACAGUAUAUAAAUUACACAUCAUGACAUAUCAAAUGAAAACUACAAACAGCCAUAGAAAGUGAUGAUGGAUAGUUACACAUGAUGAAGCACGUUACACAUGACGAAACACGAAAGUAAAUAAUUUUAUUGAGCAUUGCAAAUAAAAAAAUCACAGCCAAAUCAUAGCAAUUUAAUAAUACAACAAUAAUUCUACAAGCUUUAAGUUUCAUUCUAUAAAAUAUCAAUGCAAUUUCCAGAAAUAAAAGUAAAACAAAACCAAUCCUGUCGUUUCAUAUCUCUUCAUACAUAAUAAGAAUUUAGACUGAUGUAGCUUUUUUUAUUUUAAGUUGUUACAUUAUUUUCAAUGCAUGAGCACCUAUUAGCCUUUUUAUCUAAAUAUACAUCAGAAAAAACUAAAUAAUUUUUUUUUUUAAUUUCUAUUGCACAACAAAAUAGAAUAAUAACUAAUUAAAAUGCAACAAAAUAUUACAAAUGCAUAAACAUAUUUUCAGUUCAAAUGCUAAUAUAAUUUGUCAGUGGAGACGGAAAGGAACAAAACAGAAAAAAAAGAGCAAUGGCAAUAUAUAUAAGGUCCUGAUGAACUUUUUUCUACUACCAUUACAGUCUAAAUUCUGCUGAUACUUUACGAUUAUUUAUAAGUUUAAGUCAUCUAGUUUUAUAAUACUCUAUUUAUGUAGAUUGAAAAGACUCUUAUACCCCGUUCACACUAUGCAUUUUUAAACCGGGUUCGACCCGAAUUAAUUAAUCCGGAUUAAAUUCCAAUAGUGUGAACACGUUAAACUGGGGCGAACCCGGAUUAAAAUUACCCCUCAUCUGAGGUGGAGUUAAUGUGGGGCGAACCCGGAUUAGUUACCCCACAUUUCUAGUGUGAACGCAAAGUGGAGUUAAU
rnacentral:lncRNA from 1 species